ACGGGGGGGCAAGCGUUGUUCGGAAUUACUGGGCGUAAAGGGCUCGUAGGCGGCCAACUAAGUCGGACGUGAAAUCCCUCGGCUUAACCGGGGAACCGCGUCCGAUACUGGAUGGCUUGAGUAUGGGAGAGGGAUGCGGAAUUCCAGGUGUAGCGGUGAAAUGCGUAGAUAUCUGGAGGAACACCGGUGGCGAAGGCGGCAUCCUGGACCGAGAUUGACGCUGAGGCGCGAAAGCCUGGGGAGCAAACGGGA
rnacentral:rRNA from 1 species